ensembl:miRNA
GUCUUCUACCUAAGAAUUCUGUCUCUUAGGCUUUCUCUUUCCCAGUUUUCCCAAAGUUGGGAAAAGCUGGGUUGAGAGGGCAAAAGGAAAAAAAAAAAGAAUUCUGUCUCUGACACAAUUAAAUAGGGAA